rnacentral:lncRNA from 1 species
CCACGUUAGCCUACGGCCGCGAGGUGAAAGGGGAGCGUGGGUGAUCUGGACAUAUACAUUUUGCUCACUACCUAUCUAAAACCUGAGGACAGAGUGUGUUUUCAACCUCUGAGGAGAUGCCAAUUAGCAUGACAUAUCUUUGGAAACAUGGAGCUAGUGUAUCUUUGAUAUACAUGGAGCAAAUCAACAAAGAUAAUGAGUCCAGCUGGUGGCUAUGGAAGUGGACAGAAGGUAGGAAACAAGUUUCCCAGGGACAAGGCUAGGAGAAGGGGAUUGACUUCAAGGGCCUCUGAAGGGACAUCUGGAGUGGCAGGAGUGUUCUACAUCAUGACUGUGGGGUAGCUUUAAUGGGCUAUCAUGAGAGUGGAGCUGGUGGCUUUGUAAGAAGAGGAAGAGAG